GUCUACAGCCAUACCACCCUGAACGUGCCUGAUCUUGCUAAGUAGGGUUGCUAAGUAGAGUUGGGUGUGGUUAGUACUUGGAUGGGAGACUGCAGGGGAAUACCAGGUGCCAUAGGCU
rnacentral:rRNA from 1 species